rnacentral:rRNA from 1 species
AGAGUUUGAUUCUGGCUCAGGACGAACGCUGGCGGCGUGCCUAACACAUGCAAGUCGAGCGAGGAACUUCGGUUCCUAGCGGCGGACGGGUGAGUAACACGUAGGCAACCUGCCUCAUAGAGGGGGAUAGCCUCCCGAAAGGGAGAUUAAUACCGCAUAACACUGCAGAUUCGCAUGGGAAUGCAGUUAAAGGAGUAAUCCGCUAUGAGAUGGGCCUGCGGCGCAUUAGCUAGUUGGUGAGGUAACGGCUCACCAAGGCCACGAUGCGUAGCCGACCUGAGAGGGUGAUCGGCCACAUUGGAACUGAGACACGGUCCAGACUCCUACGGGAGGCAGCAGUGGGGAAUAUUGCACAAUGGGGGAAACCCUGAUGCAGCAACGCCGCGUGAGUGAUGAAGGCCUUCGGGUUGUAAAGCUCUGUCUUUUGGGACGAUAAUGACGGUACCAAAGGAGGAAGCCACGGCUAACUACGUGCCAGCAGCCGCGGU